rnacentral:rRNA from 1 species
UACUCUACCGGAGGCAGCAGUGGGGAAUAUUGCACAAUGGGCGCAAGCCUGAUGCAGCGACGCCGCGUGAGGGAUGACGGCCUUCGGGUUGUAAACCUCUUUCAGUAGGGAAGAAGCGAAAGUGACGGUACCUGCAGAAGAAGCGCCGGCUAACUACGUGCCAGCAGCCGCGGUAAUACGUAGGGCGCAAGCGUUAUCCGGAAUUAUUGGGCGUAAAGAGCUCGUAGGCGGUUUGUCGCGUCUGCCGUGAAAGUCCGGGGCUCAACUCCGGAUCUGCGGUGGGUACGGGCAGACUAGAGUGAUGUAGGGGAGACUGGAAUUCCUGGUGUAGCGGUGAAAUGCGCAGAUAUCAGGAGGAACACCGAUGGCGAAGGCAGGUCUCUGGGCAUUAACUGACGCUGAGGAGCGAAAGCAUGGGGAGCGAACAGGAUUAGAUACCCUGGUAGUCCAUGCCGUAAACGUUGGGCACUAGGUGUGGGGGACAUUCCACGUUUUCCGCGCCGUAGCUAACGCAUUAAGUGCCCCGCCUGGGGAGUACGGCCGCAAGGCUAAAACUCAAAGGAAUUGACGGGGGCCCGCACAAGCGGCGGAGCAUGCGGAUUAAUUCGAUGCAACGCGAAGAACCUUACCAAGGCUUGACAUGGACCGGACCGCCGCAGAAAUGUGUUUACACCCUUGG